rnacentral:rRNA from 1 species
CCCGCCGAAGACACCCCGAACUCUGUCUGAAGAAUGCAGUCUGAGAACAAAUAUAAAUUAUUUAAAACUUUCAACAACGGAUCUCUUGGUUCCGGCAUCGAUGAAGAACGCAGCGAAAUGCGAUACGUAAUGUGAAUUGCAAAUUCAGUGAAUCAUCGAGUCUUUGAACGCACAUUGCGCCCCCUGGUAUUCCGGGGGGCAUGCCUGUCCGAGCGUCAUUGCUGCCCUCAAGCCCGGCUUGUGUGUUGGGUCUCGUCCUCCGAUUCCGGAGGACGGGCCCGAAAGGCAGCGGCGGCACCGCGUCCGGUCCUCGAGCGUAUGGGGCUUUGUCACCCGCUCUGUAGGCCCGGCCGGCGCUUGCCGAUCAACCCAAAUUUUUAUCCAGGUUGACCUCGGAUCAGGUAGGGAUACCCGCUGAACUUAAGCAUAUCAAUAAGCGGAGGAA